GCUGUUGCCUAGUCUUUGCCAAUCAGCCCAAACUAUCUGUGGUUGGCUGUUGCCUAGUCUGUGCCAAUCAGCCCAAACUAUCUGUGGUUGGCUGUUGCCUAAUCUGUGCCAAUCAGCCCAAACUAUCUGUGGUUGGCUGUUGCCUAGUCUGUGCCAAUCAGCCCAAACUAUCUGUGGUUGGCUGUUGCCUAGUCUUUGCAAUCAGCCCAAACUAUCUGUGGUUGGCUGUUGCCUAGUCUGUGCCAAUCAGCCCAAACUAUCUGUGGUUGGCUGUUGCCUAGUCUGUGCCAAUCAGCCCAAACUAUCUGUGGCUCUCUGCUUCAACUCUGCUCUCAUAACCACACUUGUCUACAUACCUUGUGUUUGGUUAUUCAUGUCUCCUGCCUUCCUCUAAUACAGGGACACAAAAGAAAGAACUGGAAGGUUCGACUGUUUGUGCUGCGAUCAGAGCCAGGUUACCUUCACUACUAUGACCCCAGUAAGGAUGACAUCAGUCCCGUGGGCGGGUUCUCUCUCCGAGGCUGUCUGGUCUCUGCUCUGGACGACAACGGUGUUCCUUCAGGUGUGAAGGGUAAAGUCCAAGGUAACCUGUUGAAGAUCAUCACUCAGUUUGAUACUCACUACUACAUCCAGGCUCCCAGCAGACAGGAGAGGAUGGACUGGAUAGAAGCUAUCAGAGGACAGAGUUAAAUAAAGUCAAGCUUAUUCCUUUAACGUAGUGUUUUAGGUGAGGCUGUUAUUGAUAUAUCCAAUCCAUACAGGUUUUUAAACAAACUACUUUACAAAUCUUCUAGCGUAUAAGAUUCAAAGAAAUUAUACAUUCUAUGAAUGUAACCAUACAAAGUUAACAGUUUGGAAUAAUGGUUUUAAAUCGUGUAAAUAGAUAAUUCAACGUGGUGUUGUUUUGAAUAUUAAAUAAAGCAUUUCCCCUGUGAGAAGGCC